rnacentral:ncRNA from 1 species
UUACCAGGACCAGAUGUUUUUUAUGACUGACAGGCUUCGGGUCUUUCAGGAUAUUGUUUUUGGUGGUGCAUGGCCGUUGGUGGUGCGUGGGUUGACCUGUCUAGCGUUGAUUCAGCUAACGAGCGAGAUUAUCGCCAAUUAUUUACUUUGCCGAAGUCCUUCGGUUAAAGUUCUAAUUGGGACUCCCUGCGAUUUUAGCAGGUGGAAGAGGGUAGCAAUAACAGGUCCGUGAUGCCCUUUAGAUGCUCUGGGCUGCACGCGUGCUACAAUGUUAGGAUCAAUAGGACUGCGAGCCUGAGAGGGUGCGCUACUCUUAUAAUCCCUAACGUAGUUGGGAUUGACGUUUGUAAUCAGCGUCAUGAACCAGGAAUCCCUUGUAAAUGUGUGUCAACAACGCACGUUGAAUACGUCCCUGCCCUUUGUACACACCGCCCGUCGCUCCUACCGAUUGGAUGACUCGGUGAAAUCACCGGAUGCUUACGAGCAGAAAGUGAUUAAAUCACGUUAUCUAGAGGAAGGAGAAGUCGUAACAAGGUAACGGUAGGUGAACCUGCCGUUGGAUCAGUU